rnacentral:rRNA from 1 species
UACAGGGGGGGCAAGCGUUGUUCGGAAUUACUGGGCGUAAAGGGUUUGUAGGUGGCUUGCUAAGUCAGACGUGAAAUCCCUCAGCUUAACUGGGGAACUGCGUCUGAUACUGGCGAGCUUGAGUGCAGGAGAGGAACGCGGAAUUCCUGGUGUAGCGGUGAAAUGCGCAGAUAUCAGGAGGAACACCGGUGGCGAAGGCGGGUCUCUGGGCCGAUACUGACGCUGAGGAGCGAAAGCGUGGGGAGCAAACAGG